CUGCAGAGCGCAAACCUUGAAGUACAUGUACUUCAAGGUUUGCGCUCUGCAACU
rnacentral:pre_miRNA from 1 species